CAAUGGGCGAAAGCCUGAUGCAGCGACGCCGCGUGAGCGAAGAAGGCCUUCGGGUCGUAAAGCUCUGUCCCAAGGGAAGAAGAAUGACGGUACCUUGGGAGGAAGCCCCGGCUAACUACGUGCCAGCAGCCGCGGUAAUACGUAGG
rnacentral:rRNA from 1 species